GGGCACAUCGACAGAUAGUUCAAACCCCUAAGCCGACAGGGUGAACCAACGACCUUUCGGUUACUGGCCCAACGUUCUUACUGCAAGGCUACCUAUCACCCGUAUUAGCCUGGGUGCCAGUCUGUUUUUUGCUUUGUAGGAAACACAUUUGUCUGGCUUGACAAUGGAGUUGGUGUAACAGGCUUCCCUGUGCUCGCCUAACGGUAUAGAUUUCUUCCUCACACGGCCUCAGCUGGAGAGUAAUGUUUACGAGGCUCACUCUGUUACACUGGCGAGAUAACGCACAGAUGUGGGACCCAGGCUAGCAAACCAAAUGAAGCCCCUGUACUUUGGACACCCCAGACGAAGGAAAGGGAGCUUCAGUCCCAAAGCAGAGCGCUCCGUGGGUAACUUUUCCCCUAGGUACAGGUCUAGAAUCAGCCUUCCCUAUCCAAAUCCUAACCUUAAACAUUAGUGGAGAAAUUGCUAAACUGACCCGUGAUCAGUAUUUAGGGACAGGUCUAGAAUCAGCCUUCCCUAUCCAAAUCCUAACCUUAAACAUUAGUGGAGAAAUUGCUAAACUGACCCGUGAUCAGUAUUUAGGGGCAAAUUCACCCGACGAAGAAAAUACAAAUCUAAGCAGUCAGCGAUACAGCUGUAUUCUGUAUUUACGUGUCGAACUCUAAUUCUAGAAUUAUUAUUAUUAUUAUGGUGAAAAACAGAGUAACACAAACAAAUGUAUAAAAUACUGUUGAUAUAAUACAACAGGGUAAAAUAACCUCAUCUGAAGACCCGUUGAAGACAAAAGGCCGAGACCCAAAAAAGGCAACCUAUUCCCUAAAGAGUGCACUACUUUUGACCACAGUAGAGCACAAGAGGAGUGCACUUUAUCGGGAAUAGGGUGCUAUUAGUUGUCCGUCAUUUACAUGUAUAUUUUUGAUUUCUAUUAUCAUUAAAAGGACAAAAGUUUAUUUUUUAUUUAUAUAUAUAUAUAUAUAUAUACAACGAUAUUUCUAAAAGUGAGAUACAAAGAGUAUUGAACAGUCAAUAAUAUAGAACGAGAUGUAUUAUACGGUUAUAGAAUAAGGCCAGUGGAAAGCAACACUGCUCUUUGUACCAGCCUCGUGUCACAACAAAAGGUUUCCAGUAACCCUUUCCCCCCAACAUUCCCAGGUUUUUCCCCCCCCCCAGAAUUCCUGGUUGGAGAUUCACGUAAAUCAGGAGCAAAUAAAACAGGAAACACAGGAAUCCUCCAACCAGGAAAACCUUAGCUACAUACUGUGUGCCGCUGUAUGUUAUCAGCUACAGCUUAUAACCUGUUAUAAGAGCUUACAACAUCUCUAUACUUG
rnacentral:lncRNA from 13 species